rnacentral:rRNA from 1 species
UAAACUGGGGUCUAAUACCGGAUAGGACCACGGGAUGCAUGUCUUGUGGUGGAAAGCGCUUUAGCGGUGUGGGAUGAGCCCGCGGCCUAUCAGCUUGUUGGUGGGGUGACGGCCUACCAAGGCGACGACGGGUAGCCGGCCUGAGAGGGUGUCCGGCCACACUGGGACUGAGAUACGGCCCAGACUCCUACGGGAGGCAGCAGUGGGGAAUAUUGCACAAUGGGCGCAAGCCUGAUGCAGCGACGCCGCGUGGGGGAUGACGGCCUUCGGGUUGUAAACCUCUUUCACCAUCGACGAAGGUCCGGGUUCUCUCGGAUUGACGGUAGGUGGAGAAGAAGCACCGGCCAACUACGUGCCAGCAGCCGCGGUAAUACGUAGGGUGCGAGCGUUGUCCGGAAUUACUGGGCGUAAAGAGCUCGUAGGUGGUUUGUCGCGUUGUUCGUGAAAUCUCACGGCUUAACUGUGAGCGUGCGGGCGAUACGGGCAGACUAGAGUACUGCAGGGGAAAACUGGAAA